AUGGGGAGCUGGAAACGAGCGUUGAGCCAUAGAUGUCCGAAUGGGGGAACCCGGCUGCAGCGAUGCGGUCAUUUGCAUUUGAAUACAUAGGAUGCAAAGGCGAACUCGGGGAACUGAAACAUCUAAGUACCCGAAGGAAAAGAAAUCAAGAGAGAUUCUCCAAGUAGCGGCGAGCGAACGGGGAGGAGCCUGGCGUGAUUUAUUAUUGAACUGAGUAGAACAAUUUGGGAAAGUUGGCCGUAGAGGGUGAAAGCCCCGUAUACGAAGGUUUGAUGAGGAACUAGGCACGCGAACAAGUAGGCCGGGACACGUGAAAUCCUGGUUGAAGAUGGGUGGACCAUCAUCCAAGGCUAAAUACUACUUACUGACCGAUAGUGAACCAGUACCGUGAGGGAAAGGUGAAAAGAACCCCGGAGAGGGGAGUGAAAUAGAAUCUGAAACCGUUUGCGUACAAGCAGUGGGAGCAUAGUUUAGGCUGUGUGACUGCGUACCUUUUGUAUAAUGGGUCAGCGAGUUACUUUCAGUGGCGAGGUUAACUGAAUAAGGGAGCCGUAGAGAAAUCGAGUCUGAAUAGGGCGAUAGUCGCUGGGAGUAGACCCGAAACCGGGCGAUCUAGCCAUGUGCAGGAUGAAGGUUGGGUAACACCAACUGGAGGUCCGAACCGGGUAAUGUUGAAAAAUUAUCGGAUGACGUGUGGCUAGGAGUGAAAGGCUAAUCAAGCCCGGAGAUAGCUGGUUCUCCCCGAAAGCUAUUUAGGUAGCGCCUCGUGAAUGAUUACUGGGGGUAGAGCACUGUUUCGGCUAGGGGGCUGUCAUGGCUUACCAAACCGAUGCAA
rnacentral:rRNA from 1 species